ensembl:snRNA
GUGUUGUAUGAAAGGAGAGAAGGUUAGCACUCCCCUGGAUAAGGAUGGAAGAGGCCCUAGUGGCCUAUGCAACAUGCGUAUGGUUAAGGCAUUGCCAUUUUUUUCCUUAUUGCACUCUACAACUUCCU